rnacentral:lncRNA from 1 species
GCUUUACGUGACAUGUGUGUAACGUAGACUGCGUGUGUGGCAGACUGAAGGAUGGAUGGGAGGGAUUUGAUUUUUUUAUUGUACAAUCACUUUGUGCCUUGUGAUAUUUAUCUCACCCAGCUCAGAGGCAGGCGAUUAGCAGCUCAGAGGAAGGUAAAAUAACGCACUGUGUGAACCAAGCAUACAGGACAAUUCCAGUUUGGGACCUUGGAACCUUCUACGCCACCCUCUUCCACCAGGCCCCCAAGAAGUAGGGCUGUGACACGUGGCCAAGUCACUCCUCAGCUGAAUAUUCACUGAAGUCACUCCUCAGCCGAAAUACUGCUCAGAGCUGCUGCACGAUGAGUCUGGGGCCAAGGCUUUCUGCCCUUCCCAGGAUUCCAGGAGCCCCCAUGCACAGCACCUCGGGCUUGCCCAAAUGAUCCCCAAAACCAAGGGCAGAAAAUUUUUGGAAAAGGCCAAGUUCUGCUUUCCCAGAGCUAUCGGGCCUGCGAAACAGAGAGAAAAAAGUCAGAAGCAGGAGCUGAUUUCAAAAACAAAACAAAACAAAACUUCAAUGAGAUUUAAGUAGCUUUUAAAGAGGAGGAAAAGUUGAUAACUAUUGGAUGCACCCGAAGAAAAAAUAAAUAAAUAUCCUGUGAUGACCUCAAGGAUGUCUUGCAGCUUUAGAACUUCAUAACCUGGAAAUUGAAGCUCAGGAUCAAAAAGUAACUUCUUAA